AAAUCGCACGUGGUAAAUGAUCACUCGACCAGAAAUUAAAUGUAAUUUAAAUUAACAUAACAAAAGACUUGAUGUGUACGAUAAAAUUGAAACUGCCUAAUAAAUACAGGUAGCCUUUGUGAGAAAUAAAUAAAGAUAAAAACAUACUUUAUUCAAAAAAUUAUAUUUGGUGAGAGCUGGUAAAGAUAUAUAGAUCGAUAAUGAUUGCAGGUACAUGUACAUUUGUACAAGGAUAGAUAAGAUUUAUAAAGGUGAUGUUAAUAAUUCAUAGUGGGAGGUUUUUUUUGCUCAUUGCUUUUUUCCCGACAAAUGAGACUGUAAAAAUUGGGGCCCCCUUAGUUGCUCCCCUGGGCAACUGAGGGUUGAUGUAACAGGUGAUUGUUGAUAAAAUAUGUUUAAU
rnacentral:lncRNA from 1 species